GAUGGUUGGAAUCAUGAUUCAAUUAGAUGUACGGGGUCAACUUCUUAGUUAAAACUUUGGGGUGUAGAUUCUGUCUGACUUGCAAAUC